rnacentral:rRNA from 1 species
UACGUAGGGUCCGAGCGUUGUCCGGAAUUACUGGGCGUAAAGAGCUCGUAGGUGGUUUGUCGCGUUGUUCGUGAAAACUCACAACUCAAUUGUGGGCGUGCGGGCGAUACGGGCAGACUUGAGUACUGCAGGGGAGACUGGAAUUCCUGGUGUAGCGGUGGAAUGCGCAGAUAUCAGGAGGAACACCGGUGGCGAAGGCGGUUCUCUGGGCCACUACUGACGCUGAGAAGCGAAAGCGUGGGGAGCGAACAGG